GCGCGUUCUCGUUUACCGCGAGAGAAAGCGAGAGGGAGGCGACAAUAUUCGAUCGCUUGGAUUCGCAAACAGCGUUUUGUGUGUGUUUUGAGCAAUCGGUGGUAAUCCGUCGACAUCAUGUCUUUCCGAGGAAACGAAUGCAGGAUUUACGUUGGGAAUUUGCCCCCGGACAUCAGGAGCAAGGAUAUAGAGGAUUUGUUUUACAAAUUCGGCAAGAUAACGUUCAUCGACUUGAAAAACCGUAGGGGUCCGCCAUUCGCUUUUGUUGAAUUCGACGACCCCAGAGAUGCAGAGGAUGCAGUGCAAGCACGGGACGGCUAUGACUAUGAUGGCUACCGCUUGCGUGUGGAAUUCCCCCGGGGCUCUGCGCCCGGGCGGGGCAGCAUGGGACCUGGCCGAGGCAGGGGACCCCCUGCCCGGAGGUCUCAGUACAGGGUUCUUGUUUCAGGUUUGCCCCCUAGUGGCAGUUGGCAGGACCUGAAAGAUCACAUGAGAGAGGCAGGCGAUGUGUGCUAUGCUGAUGUGUUCAAGGAUGGCACUGGUGUUGUGGAGUUCCUCCGCUAUGAGGACAUGAAGUACGCUGUCAAGAAGCUGGAUGACUCACGCUUUCGGUCCCAUGAGGGGGAAGUGUCAUACAUCAGAGUGCGUGAAGACUACAGCAGCCGUUCACGCAGCCGAAGCCGCAGCUACUCCCCACGUCGCUCUCGUGGUUCUCCCACAUACUCACCAGCCCGGCGCUCUGGGUCACGGACACCCUCACGAUCUCGGUCCUGUUCACACUCCAACUGAACUGGGAACUUUGGGGGUGUGAAAUACGGUGGACAGCACUAUGCGCUCGACAGGCAACCUUUCUGACCCCAUUUUUCUCUUUUGGUGAACCUUCAUUGUAGCUUCACAUUGUUUUUUGUUCCUCGCAUUCUGGUGGAUGCUUAGAAUUCUCUGUAAAGUGAUGCUGCUUUGUUUAGAUUUGGGCCAUGACUUUAAGCUACAAACUUAUUGGUCAAAACUUUGUAAAAACAAUCAGCUGGCCCUUGUUCUUUUUCUAAAUCCAGAAUACAGUAAAGAGGCAUUCUUCAAAUGCCUAAUUUUAACAUCCAGCUUCCAGCUUUAGUAAGGUAUGCAAAAGCAAGUGCAGAACCUGUCCUGAUUCAUAGUCGUUCAGACUUUUUUUGCUGCAUUGCAUAUGCAUAGCUUCCUUUUUGUAAACCUGUAUUUCUGCUUGACACAAGUAGUUCUGCUUAAAUCAAUUGUUGCUUUUGUAAUGUGGGCUCGUCAUCGUUUUUGCAUUACCGUCGUCACCUUUUGUUGGCCCACCGUUUUGUAACAAGAUGUGUACAGAUUGUGUUGGUAGUUCAGUGUUUUUCUUCAUUACCAAAGUAGCGCACAAGCAGGACAUGUAUACAUCUGCACUUCUCAGCCUGCCCAUUUGUAUGUGGGCACAUCACGCAUCACGAACUCGGGUAGCACCUGAGUUGUCACUAGCUGCAGCAAAGCACAUUUCAAUAACGUGUAUGUGUGAUGUUUUGUGUUGUUUGCCAGAGGAAAAAAAAAUGUCUUGUGAACGGCGAUGCCCAUCUCUUGUCUCUCAAUCUGUUUGUCUGUCUAGAUGCCACAAAACGGGAGGAUGGCACACGUCGCUGAGGAUCACUAAAGUGGAUAUGUUUGCGGACACGCACAUUCGGAUCGAAGGAGCUUAGCGGGAGGAAUGUGGAAAGGUGUGAUGUCGCCCCGCCGAGGAUUUGGCAAGGCGCACACGGCAGGAAGGGGAGAAAAAGAAAAACGCUUUCAGUAGAGCAAGCGCUGGUUCGGGGAGCGCAAGAGGAGGACAGCGCUGGGAGAAGUGGCUCGCACACAAAGGGAGGAGGAGAACACGCCGCGUAGCGCAUAGGAAGGAGCGGCACACGUCCUGCACACAGGAGACGGAAUUGGCCAUCAGGAUUUCGGAGCCUCGUCUCAGGGUCUCACUCCUGACGAGGAGGAGGACUGACACGCAGGGGUUCAGGACCUGUUUACACUCGUGUGUGGAAUCUGGAUCAAUAGGAUUGGAUGGAAUUCAGGAUUGGAUCCACACAUGGCAGGAUGCAAACAGGUGCCGUAAGAGCUGCGCGACGGGGGCUGGAUGGCGGGGUGGGGUGGGCGAUUGUGGCUAGUAGAUGCUUCUUUGGGAGGGGUGAUAGGCUCUCUCUGGCAGCUGUUUGCAAUGCAGUACUUGUAUUAAUGUCAAUGUAGAACUUUAAUGUACUGCUCAAAUGUAGCUUUAAUAGUAUACUCUCACUUAGAAUUGUGCAGUCAAUUUUAGGUGUAGUUUUAAACUUCUAUACAAUCAAAGAUCUUGCUUUAGGUGAUGGUUUUUCAGGACUCAUCUGAUGAGGUGAGUAUGAACGUGGGGGCAACGUGGCAUCCGAAAGUGGCAAUACAGUGGCAACUUAAAGCAGAGCAAGCUAGCCUGUAGACCUUGUAAUCAGUGUUGAGAUCAUGAUUUUGAGUUGGCAUUAAAAUUGACCUCUGGUUUG
rnacentral:misc_RNA from 1 species